GAGACUCUAUUGGAAUCGCAUCCUGUCUCCAUCUCUCUUUUCUCUUGCCCUGCCCCCGUCCCCUGUCCCCUCUCCAGUGAUUAUAAAAAGGAAGCACUAUUGACAUGAAGAUAUGGACCAGGACCACAGAUGAAUCUAUGGUAAAUGAUAUUCUGCCUUGCUGUUUGCAGCCACCAUGAAUUGGAGAAACUCCAUGCCACUCUGUCUUGGAGCCAACUGAAUACUGACUGAAACCUCUAAAAAGUUUGGGAAAUAAACCGUUCCUUUCCCAACUUUGGGCAUCAGAUAUUUUGUCUCAGUGGUGAGUAAAAAGUAACUAAGACAUAAUUUGGUACCAAGAGUGUGGUCGUGGCUGUGACUAUACCUUGAACAUGUUUUUCAAGAGGCUUUGGAAAUGGUUUGUGGGCAGUUUGGAAAGGUUUGGACAUGUUACCUGGAUGUAUACAGCUGGAUGUAACAGCCCUGUUCUGUAGAGGAGAUUCCAAUCAGAGCUCAGGAGACCAGAAGGCUGACAGAAAGCCUGAAGUUAAAGACCAGGUUUAGUAGCUUUCUCUUGGGAAGAAUGAUUGCACUGGCUGUUGAACUCUGAACCAUGUGUAUUCCAGCUUAGCAGAAAGUUUGUCUGCAUUUUUUUUCACACCCAGAGACUUUGCCUGAGACUAAGACUAAGGGCAAUGUUGAGGCUGUGGCAUGGCUAUGGUUGGGGAGUUUUAGCCAGAUAUAUGUAGCAAAUCAAGAGCAAAGAUCCCAGCAGAAUAACUUAAAACACAGUGAGUUUGACCAGAAUAAAGCUUCAGUAAAGCUGUGGAUUAAAGUGAUAGAGCUGAGACUUUGAUUGCUGAAAGGGAACAAAGAAGUAAGGAAGAUGGCCAGGGUCAUCCCAAGAAGUAGGGGGUCUCCAUCCUUUACAGCCUCAAAAGGGCAAAAGUGAAACAGCGUGCUCACAGGAGAAAGCUUCAGAGCACCAUGCUUCAAAAUGGUGACAGAGGUCACAUGAGGUUCCAGAAUGGUGGCAACAUAGAAAAACUUUUCAUCACAAUCAGGAAAACAGAGCCCAGUGAUCCAGACACUGGACCCCUACAGCCAAGAGAAAAGCCUGGUGACUGCUCCAGCUGGCAGCAAAACUGGGUGACACCCACAUGGUGCUGAUUUUAGGUACAUGGAAAAUGCACAAAUUCUGAGGGUAAGAUGGCUUCCUCCUCCAUUGCAAAGGGCCUGGGAGGCCAAGCAGUGUUCCUCUGAGAGGGAAAUUUGUAAAGAUGUAAAGGUGAAGCCAAAGGUGUAAUGGAGACCCCAAAAGUUUGGAAAAUCCAGGAACAUGGAUCAUCCAAGAAGAGCUGCAAAAAGGGAACAGAAACGGUUAAGAGAGAAGUGGUAGGAGUUGAAAUCUUUGGAAGUGCUGUGGGGGGUGGAAUCACGCAAGCUUUUUGGAGCUUGCAACCAGAUUGCUUCAAAUGGGAAGCAUGGAACUCUCUUUCACCCUGCUGGAUGUUGGACUUGCAUUGUCCCCAAUGCUUUAUAUUCUCAUCUGUAACUUUUGGAAUGGUAAUGUUUACUUUGUGCCUUUGCAUUUCAGAAAUGUUUAACCUUGUUUCAUUUGUACAGGGGUUUACAGUUAAGAGUUUGCCAUAGAUAUUGGAGACUUGGGACUUGGACUUCUCAGCAAUGCUGCAAAUGUUAGAACUUUGGAAACUCUUGGAAUUGGACUAAAUGUAUCUGUAUAAAGAAAGGACAUGAUUCUUUGGGGAUCAGGGGUGAAAUGUAUGGUUUACAUUGGGCCCCCGGCCUCACAAGUUUGUAUUGUGCAUUUGUGAUUGGAUCAUUGUCUAGUACUUCGAUUGACAGUGUCAGUGCUACACUCGCCUAGAGGCAGAGACAGCAUACAGUGUAAGGGCUGGAAGAAAGAAUGUCUCUCUUGGAAGUUUCUGCAAUGCUAUUUUCAGCUGCCAUGAAAUGUGGCCUCACCAUGACACCCUGCCUUGGAGCCAACCUAAGAUGGUUUGAAACCUCCGAAAACCAUAUGAAAUAAACCAUUUCUUUCCAAACUUUGGGCAUCAGUUAUUCUGUCUCAGAGAAGAGUGAAAAGUAACUAAGACAUUCACCAAGUUCUGGAGUACAGACUCCAUCAAUGUAGGUAUUCAUUUACAAGUUGGUGCUAUUUCCAAACCUUCUACAACUGUCUUUUGACAUCUGAUACUGUGGAAGACAUUGGGAAGACUUUCAUAUCAUGGUCAUAUAAUUCCUGCAAUUUUACUUUCCAAUAAACUGGAGCCCCUUGUAUGAAGCAAUGUGGAUCAAGAUUCCAUUUGAAUGGAUCAAAUGCUUUAUAAGACCCCUCCAGAUAUCAAUACAUUGGUGAUGGCUCAUAUAUUACAGCCAAUAGAGGGAAAUGUACACUAAAAUAAGUGCUGAAUAUAUGAAGGUGAAUCCUCUACCUGUGGUGAAAUGAAGAUUUCAAUACUUUUUUCUGAUCAACUUAUUUCUUUUUCCUGACAACGUGGAGCUUGAGGUCUGUAAUGGCCCUUCAGAACUGUCCUAAACUGAAGGAACAAUGCUAUGCCUGAAACUAAUUCUUUGAUUAGGCAUUAGUUAGGAACUUGUACGAAAGGGAAUGACUUUAUAUCAGGAAAUUUUCCACAGCUGAUAGUAAUUCAUAUAGAGGACUUGAGUGAAAAAUGUCACUUGUCAUCACAUGAAACAUUACAGGAAGAAUGCUUCAUCAAGAAGGAACUGAACUGGACUAUGUCUUCAAAACUAAAGAUACAAAAUUUAAAUAAAAACCAGUUGGUUUUGAUACAAAAAAAUAAGAAGAAAGGAACAAAGAAUUUAAAGGUAUAUCAAUCAAAAUUUGUUAUUCUGAAAAACCAAAGGACAAAUAUAACUAUAUCUAUCUAUCUAUCUAUCUAUCUAUCUAUCUAUCUAUCUAUAUACAUUUAGUUAUAUAAAUACAUAAAAUUUCUCAUACAUGUGAAAAUUUGACUUUCAUAAUAUUGAAGCUAUAGUAAUAGAGAAAAAAACAUGGUGAGCUUGACAAACACUCACAAAAAUAAUAGUUACCAAUUUUCUGAAUUUGUCAAGAGGCAAAACAUCAAUAGUAGCAUCACAUAGAAUUUAUUAAAUCACCUACAUACAAAAACCAUAUAACAAAUAAACUACAAAUGAAAGUGAAAGAAAAAUGAUUGACAUGAAUUAAUAAAAUAAACAGGUCAUUAUACAGAAGCAGUACUUCCAAUGUCAACUAAUUGUUCAAUGGAAAUCAUAGAAUUGAGAAAGAUAACACAUUUCCCGAGUGUUAACAAACUAUCAAGUAAGAAUCCUAUGUUGAAAGAAACUGUAUUUCUGGAAUGAAAAUGUUAAAAAGACAAUCUCAGACAAAGGGAAGAAAAUUAACUUGCAUUUAUCAGACUAUCAGAAAAAAAAGGUUGCUGAUUGUAGUUUUUCAAGGAAAAGAAAAUGUAGAGCAUCAGCAAAGAAGGAAGAGAAACAGAAUGAGUGUGACAUCAGAGAAUAAAUAGACCUUCUUUCACCAAGUGAGCUUUCAAAAUGAGGUUUGGUUUGGAACAAAAGAUAUAGCAUUCUACUCUGUAUUUCAGAGUCUACAAAAGUUUUUACAACACCUCUAUUAUGAGAGAGAGAGAGAGAGAGAGACAGAGAGAGAGACAGAGAGAGAGACAGAGAGAGAGACAGAGAGAGAGAGAUGCAGAGACAGAGGGAGACUUCAGGGAAACGUUUAUAUAUUUACUUAAAAGUAUGCAGAUGUCAACUCAAAUUCCUUGCAAUAAGGCAGAUGGCUUAGUUUUAGUUUACUCAAUGCCCAAACACUACAGUAACUCACAGUUCAAAACAUAGAGCAGGCACUAAAAUGUUUGCAUCUGUACAAAGAAAUAUAUUUUAAAACACAAUAAAUAGAGCACAUAGAUUUCUAAAUAUGUUUAAGUAACAUGACAGCUGUAACAUGAGGAACACAAAAAUGAAAAAUAGAAUUUUUAGAAUACAACAAAAAGGCAGACAGAAGCCUUCAUGUAUCAAUUACAUUGACUGUAUUUGACCUGUAUUAGUUAUCCUUACUAGAGAAAUGAACAGAAGAUAUAAAACAUAUAAGAAUUUACAAAAUUAACCUGCAGUGACUAUUCACACAGAGUGGGAAAAGUAUGUCUGCAAACUGCAGUUGUGGAGGAUCCAGGCGAAGGCCUGCAGCUCAUUACAGUGUUGCAUGUAAAUCCAUAUCAGGAAGCAAAAAGGUCUGCACCAAAGGCUGAAGGAUCUAUGAUGGAGGCUAAAAUGGCUACACAAGAAACCAGGAGAUAGUGCCCAAGGUAAAAAUGAAAAGUAAAGCUUCUCCAAAGGGAACAAAAGAAGUCUUUCCUUUUUAGUUUCCCUUUUCACAGCAUUCUGGGGAAUAAUUCUCCCCAGAGUGGAUCUUCCACACCUAGAAAUAUGCUGAACCAAUUUAAUUCUGGUUGACAUACUCAAUCAGCUGUUACAUGACUUAACUGCAUCAAUUUAAAAACUGAAAUCAAUGACAAGCAUUCCUUCCAAAUUAACUAAAAAUAUUGGUCUCUACAAGAAAAGUCUAAAAAUAUUACAGUUUCAAGAAAGUGAAAUAAUUGAGAAGCAUAUAUCAAUUGACUUCAUGCAGAUCAAAGAAAAGCAAAAGAAAAAGUCUCAUAGACAUGGCAUAAUAAAGGAUAAAUCAUGUAAUACACUGACCAUAAAUGCAUGAGAUCCAAACAAAAUGCAAAAAUAAAAACUCUGAACUCAAUGUAAAUAGAUCAGAGUGGCCCUCAGCUCCCUGUGCUUCCCCUUGUGAGCUGAAAGUGUACACAAUGAUUUCCAGCCCACAGGGAAGCCUUGGCAUACAACUCUGAGACUGGCAGGCCCCCACCCCGCAUCCCACAUCACAGAAGGACCCACAGGAAAGUCCCUCAGCCCUAUUUAGGCUCCAUUCAGUAACCCCCCAAAUGGCCCAGAGACACCUGUGUUCCACAUUGUGAGCCAAAGUGUGUGCAGCAACCUCUAGUCCAUAGGGAAGCUUUGGCACACUGCUCUGAGACUGAUAGGGCCUUGCCCAGCAUCUUCCAUCACAGGCUCUCCCCUGGACCAAUUUGGCCCCACCAAAUGAUCCCCAAGAUGCCUGAAGGUGCCUGCAGUCCACUUUGUGAGCCAAAAUUACAUGCAGCAAUUUCCAUCCCGUGAGACAGACUUCACUUGCUGCUCCAAGACUAUUUGUGCCCCACCUAGUGACCCCAAGUGGCUGGGAGCCACGUGGUGAGAUCUGUCUAAGGACUUCCACAUAACUUGAGGAAACUACCUGGAGUAAGGAGAGAUGUUCCCAACCCCAGAAACAACUGAGACCUUGCCUCAGCUUCCCUAAAGGAAUAAAAGAAAAGGACAAGGCAAUAGAGCAAAAUGCAAUCUCAAACCUCCGCCCAUCCCUAACACGCCUAGGAAACAUGGAUAUAGAACAAAAUGCAAGCAUACACGUGAACCUCCUAAAAUGAUAGUCACUGAAGUAAAGAAACAACUCUGGGAAGCUAUAAAAGAAUGCAGGUCAGAAAUAAUCUCCCAGGUAAAAGAAGAAUUGAAAAAUAUAAUGAAAAAAAUGUGGAACACGUCUAGAGAAGACAUAGUUUAAAAUUAGAGACAAUGCAAAAAGAUGGAACCUUGAAUGAACAAUACAAGAAAUAAAAAAUGCAUGAAACAGAUUCAAAGAGAUAUGCAGGAAGCCAAAAUCUCCAUCAAAGUUGGCAAAAGAGCCUCAAUGAAAAUGAAGAUAGACUUUCAGACCUAAAAGACAAGAUUUUAGCUAGUGAAGAGGAAAAGGAAAAUCUUUCUAAAACAACAAGGAAUCAAGAUAUAAAAAUUUAACUGCUACAAGAUGAUUCAAAGAAAAAACAUAAGCUUGAAAGUAUAAACAAAAUGAAGAUGUCAACACAAAUUAUAUCAAGAGAUUAUUCACAGAAGUAGUAGCUCAAAAUUUCCCAAACAUGAUAAUGCAACCUGAGAUAAAGAUAAGUGAAAUAUAUAAAACUCCAAAUAGCCAUAACCAAAAUAAAACCACACUCAGACAUGUAAUAAUCAAUAUCCCAGAAAGCCAACUUAAGAAAAGAAUAUUAAAAGCUGUUAGAGAGAAGAGACAGAUCAUCUAUAAAGGAAAGCCUAUCAGAUUAAGAACAGACUUCUCAACACAAACAGUGAAGUCAAAAAGAGCAUGGAGUCAAGUAUUUCAGAUCCUAAAGGAAAACAACUUCCCACCAAGAUUGAUGUAUCCUGCAAAAUUGUCCUUCAAAACAGAUGGAGAAACAAGACAAAGAACAGCUGAACAUUUUCAUCACUGCCAAAAUAACCCUUCAAAGAACACUACAAACAUUCUAGAUAGACAUAGCAAAAAAAAAAAAAAAAAAAAAACACUAAGCAAGGCAAACAAUUAAACAGAGAGGAAAGAUAGAGGAUCAACAGCAGAAAGAUAACAUAUCAAAAAUAAACCAAUAUGUAUCAAUUAUAACCAUUGAUGUAAAUAGCCUCAAUUCACCAAGUAAAAGAAACAGACCAGCAAAAUGGAUCAAAAAACAGCAUCCAACCAUAUGCUAUAUACAAGAAGCACAUCUAGCCCAAAAAGAAACUCACACUGAAAGUUAAAAGAUUGAAAAAAUCUUUCAUGCCACAGGAUGUGGGGACGGGCACAUCUCAUUGCAUGCUCAGCCUUCCUGACACAUUCCUUGCACCCCUUGGGACCUCCACUGGCAUACAAGGUUUGGCUGCUUCUGCAUCCCACUGUCCUGUACAUGGCCACCCUUUGUUCCACUUCCUGGGUCUAACAUUGCUGUUGAUCUUUAGUUUCCAUUCCUUCUCCCAGAAACUUGGACUGAAUUGGAUUAACUGUGCUGGAUUGAUGGGAGACUUGGUAACCUAUCAUUCAAAAAAAGACAUUAGCAGGCUUCCACCAGUGUGGUGAGUUUGCCCCUAAAACAGAAGUCUUCAGUGAGUAAAAAGGAGCAGUGGUGAAGUUCUCUUCAGCUCUAGGACCUUGAUGAGCUUGUCGAGUGUGAGUGAGUCAUUCCUCCACACAGAAAACAUCAGGUAGGCUGAGGAGUGAGCAAAUAAGGCCUCCCUCAACCUGGAGAAAAUUAAAAGGGCUUAUGAGACACUCACUGACAUAGUAGGGUCUCACAUAAGACAAACACUAUAGACAAAGGGAUCUGGUGACCAAGCACAACCUGAAGACAUAGGAACAGCAGGAACUAAGGACUGACUUGCAUCAAUACUUCUAGGGUAGUCUGCAUAGGAAGAAUAUAGGACUCAUCCCAUAGGCCCUGUAGGUGGAAUUUAGGUGACUACACCUGUUCUGCAUUGUGGCACCCAGAAACUGGACAAACAUAAAGCACACAGUAGGACCCUAAGAUACACAUUAUUGAGAGUUGAGAUGAGUGGGAUUGAAACCAAAAAAUAUUAGCCUGAAAGAUAAAAAUGACAAAAUGUGAAAGCAAAAUGUAUUCCAGCAGGUGCAUGUGCAGGAGACAUUGAAAUAGAGGGCUUUAAAAAUCAUACAUCAGAAAUCUCUAAAAAAAUAACAAAACUAAUAAAUAAAUCCAUGAGGCUACAGAGGAAAUCAAAUUAUAAAUAUUUACUCACAUAAAGACAGAAAUAAGAACUUAGGAAAGGAGUUGCUCAAUGUAGCUAGACAAGAAAUAGAUGAAAGAAAUUGUAUUGGAUCAUGGGAAACUAAUUGAAACAUUGAAUGAACAAUACAGAAAACAACCAGAAUCCCUGAAGCAAAUUAAAAGAGAAAGACGAGGAACAAAAAAUUCUAUUGAAAGCUGGCAAAAUCAUUUAAAUGAAGAUGAAGAUAGAAUUUUGGACCUUGAGGAUAGGAUCACACUUAGCGAUCAUGAAAGGAUAGAACUUUUAAAAGUAACAGAGCAGCAUAAAAUGAUAAUUCAGCAUCUUCAAAAUGAUGCCAACAGAAACCACAUAAGACUAAUACGCAUCAAUGAAGAUGCAGGCGUAAACACAAAUAACUCAGGUAAAUUAUUCACAGAAACAAUAAAAGACAAUUUCCCCAACAUGAAGAAAAUUCUGAUAAAUAGAUAAGUGAGGUGUAUAGAAAACCAAACAAUCACAACCAAUAUAAAUCUACACCCAGACAUAUAAUAAUUAAGAUGCUAGACAUGCAGCAUUAAAACAGAAUGCUAAAAGCUGUUAGAGAAGACACAACUCACCUAUCAAGGAAAGCCAAUUAGAAUCAUGGCAGACAUUUCAGCACAAACCCUCAAGUAAAGACAAGCUUGGAGUCAAGCUCUGAAAAAAAAAUAACUUUCAACCGAGAUUGAUGUAACCAGAAACUUUCAUGCAUAUUUAAUGGAGAAACAAGAUCCUUCCAUGAGAAAAAACACCUGAGGAAAUUUGUGUCCACAAAACGAACCCUAAAAAGAGUACUGAAAGACAUACUAGACAGAGACAAAAAUGACCACAAUUUAAGAACAACAAAAGAAACAAACUAUCAGGCAGGGCAAUCAAUUGAAGAUGGGGAAAAAGCAGAAAAGCAGCAACAAGAACAUAACAUGACAAAGUUGAGCCACUAUAUAUCAGUUACAUCCAUCAAUGUAAAUGGACUCGAUUCACCUAUUAAAAGAAAUGUGUUGACAGAAUGGACCAAAAAACAGGAUCCCACAAUAUGCUGUAUAAAAGAAACACACCUGACUCAAAAGGAAACUCAUAGAUUAAAAGUCAACAGAUGGAAACAUUUUUCUUUAUAGUUGGGUUCUCUUGUAUUUGGUGCAAAUAUAUUUGUAGCUGUUAGUUCUUCCUCUUGAAUCUUUCCACUAACGAGUAUGUACUGACCUUCUUUAUCUCUUUUAAUCACUUUAGGUUUGAAGUUCACAUUUUCUACAAAUAGUAUAGUUACUCUUGCUGUUUUCUGGGUUCCUGUUGUAUGGAAUCAUCUUUUGCAUCCUUUGAAUUUAAUCUAUGAGUUUCCUCUUGGUCAGAUGUGUUUCUUGUAUACAGCAUAUUGUGGGAUCAUGUUUCUUGAUCCAUUCUGUCAAUUUAUUUCUUUUGAUUAGUGAAUUCAGGCCAUUUACAUUUAUGGAUAUAACUGAUACGUCCUGGCUUGACUUUGCCAUAUUAUGUUCCAGUUGUUUUCUUUCUACUUUCCCCCCUUGUUUAAUUGCUUCCCCUAACUGGUGCUUUCUUUCUGUGGUUGUUCUGGGGAUUGUGGUCAUUUUUUUAUCUCUACCUAUUAUGUCUUUCAAUACUCUUUCUAGGGUUCAUGUGGUAUUGUGUAUCUUGGGGUCCUGCUGUAAGGUUGAUUUUUUGCUAGAUUCCACAAUGAAGAAGAGGUGGGCCAGUCACCUGACUUCCCACUGCAGGGCCUGUUGGGUGAGUCCUAUAUUUUCCAGGGAUGACAAGCCUAGUAGUGAUGAUAUAGCUCAGCUUUUAGUUGCUGCAGUUUCUUUAUCUUUAGAUAAUUCCAGGUCACCAAAUCUCCCUGUCUAUAGUGCUCAUGCCAGCUGAGGCUCUGCUAUGUCCCUAUUGUGUGUCUCUGUGUGUCAUAAGCCCUUUUGAUUUACUGCAGGUUGGCGAAGUCCUUAUUGGCACACACCUUACUCUUCUUGUUGUCCUCUGUGUGCUUGAAAGAAUCGGCCACACUCUUGCCAGACUCACCAAGGUCUAACAGUUAGUUGGAGGGAGCUUUCCUACUGGCACUAUUUACCCAGUGAAUGCCUCUAUUUUAGGGGUAUACUCACCACACUGACUACAGCCUAAGGAAAUCUUCUGUUUGGGUAAGGAAGUUACUGAAUCUCCCUUCAAGCUAUCACAGUUAAUCUUUUGUAGUCCAAGAUUCUGGGAGACAGUGUGGGAGAUGAAUAUCAACAGCAGUAUUAGGUCCAGGAGGUAGGGAGAGUUCCCGAGGUGCUAGCAGGUGUCCUGAGUCUGGGUAUCCACUGGGUGGGUGGGAAGCACAAUGCAGCAACAUAGAUGGUCCUGAGCCAAAGAAUGGGCCAAUGGCAUCAGUCUGGGUGUCUGAAGGCUAUGCAGGAAGAAGGGAAUGGCAGCGUAUGUGUACCUGGGCCACGGAGCAGGCAGCGGCAUCAGUCCAGGCAUCUGUGGGGUGCUAUCUUGCAUUGAAAUCCUAUGUUGCUUUCAUGGUUUGUUCUGAGUGGGUUCAUUCUGUUUCAUCCUGUUUGGGCCUGUUCUACUUAGCAAAGCUGUAACUUCAACUGGUUGUUGAAGUUUUAGGGUAAAUGCCAGGAAAGACAUAGGAGCAUAGUGUUUGGAACCUGCUGAGGUCUUCUGUUUGGGUGAGAGGUCACUGAGUCUCCCUUAAACUUAGCAUUGUUAAUCCACUGCAGUUUAUGUUCUGGAAGGAGGAGUGGGGGCCAAAGAGCAAGUACCUGGCCUAGGAGAUGGGGAGCUUCACUGAGCGGGCAGCCAUUGGCGCAGUCAUUCUUUCAGACCAGUAAGAGUCACACAGGAAGUGCAUGGAGGCACAGGCCAAGGUCUGAGAGCUGUGCCAGUCCCUCAGGGAUGACAGGGGUUGUGCAGGAAACACAGAGCAUCAAGGUCAAGGUCCAAGGGUGGUUUGGCAUUCCUCAGUGUCAGCGGGAGUCAUGCAGGAAGCACACAGAUGCAUGGGCCAAGCAGGUUUUGGUAUUAGUGCUCUCCGUAUACCAAAAACUAAAACUGGAUCUGUGCUUAUCACCAUGUACAAAACUAAAGUCAAAAUGGAUCAAAGAUGCAAAUUUUAAAACAGAAACAGUAAAUCUGCUGAAAGACAAAGAAGGUGGAAAUCUAGAAGACAGGGAUAGUUAGAGAAGUCAUGAAGAAAAAUCAACCUAUACUGGAAACACUUCCCAGAAUGAAUAACUAGCAUCUCAUCUUAUUAAGAAGUCAUUGCAUGUCAGAAGUAAUCUCCAGCACAGUAAAAUGGAAACCAAUGAAUUUUGAAAAUAUCUUUGUCAACUUUCCUUCAGACCAAUGACUUCUGUCUAGAACAUAUAAAGAAUCUGAAAAAACCAGACCCUUGGAACUCAAAGACAAAAUCCAAAAAUGGGCAUCUGAGAUGAAUAUAUAGUUCUCAUAUAAAGAAAUACAAAAGGAAAAAUACAUGAAAAAAAUGCUCAGAAUCAUUAGUCAUUAGAGAAAUGCAAAUUAAAACAGCAUUGAGAUUCCAUCUCACUCUAGAAAGAAUGACCAAGGUAAAGGAAACUACCAGCAGCAAAUGCUGGUGAGGUUGUGGGGAAAAAGAAACAUUUCUGCACUGUUGGUGGGAGUGUGGACUGGUACAACCUCCAUGGAGGUCAGUCUGGAGGUUCCACAAAAAUCUGGGACUGGAAGUCCCAUUUGAUCCAGCUAUUCCACUUUUGGGCAUAUUCCCAGAAAAACUGAAAACAUCAUAUCACAGUGAUAUAUAUGUACCAUGUUUAUAGUAGCACAAUUUGUAAUAGCCAGAUCUUGGAAACAACCUAAAUGCUCAUCAAGUGAGAACUGAGUAAAAAUUAUGUGGUACUUUUAUACAAUAAAGUACUACUCCACUGUAUAAAAUGGAGCUAUACUCAGCUAUAAGGCAUGAUCACAUUGAGAUAUUUAUUGGAUGCAACUUGAGACUCAUAAGUGAAAUAUAUCAAAUUCACCUGUGUAAAUACUGUAUUGUCUCACUAGUGUAAGAAAUGGUAGAGACACAAGACAUAAGACACAAAAUGCACAAUAAAUUCAGAGAAAUAGUAAGAAUCUGCUCAAAGUGGAAAAAAGUAAUAUCUCAUGGAAAAGGAAGAAAAAGUAAGAGAAAAGAAAAAUAUCUAAAUUUGUAUAAACACAUGAUAGUUAAGAUGGCUGUGCUAUGAAUUCUGUAAGUUCUAGGAACAAAGCAGUUAACAUUCAUAGGAAUGGAACAAUUUUGCAUGUUUGUACCUUUAAUCUGAGGAACUCUUUUGAAGAUAACUGUAAAAUAACAACCUUCGUCAUGUUCCUAAUACAUUGUAUUGAAUUCCUAUAUAAUUACUAUUUUGGGCUCUUUGCUAUUGUUAUUUAUUUUUUUGUUUUGUGUCUUGUUUUUCUAGUAAGCUGACUUUCUUUGCUUUCUUUUGUAUUUCCCUCUAAUACAGAAAGGUUUGAUGUACAUGUAGAGGCUUAUACAUUCCUAGAACUUUUCCUAAAUAGUUUGUGAGAACUGAUUUUAUUUUGUGUGAUGAAAUGAACAGCUAAUUUAAAGAAAAAGAGACAUUAUAGUAGCCAUUGAUGAUUUCCUAUCACCAUGCUGUAAAAUCCAGGAAUGUUUUUAUUCUUCAUUCAGAGUUGUUUUAGUCUGUUUUGUAUUAUUUAAUUUCAACAUACAGGAAGGUAUGGACAGCUAUUUUGAAGAGAACAAGAGAUAUUAUGGUAACCAUUUUUUUUUUAUUUUCCUAUUGUCCAGUUUUGAAGGUUCAUAAUGCCUUCAUUAUUCUGUUUUGAUCAGUUUUAUACUAUUUUGUUUUGCAUGAAUUAUUUGUGUGAGAAGAUAUAGACAACUGGUUAGAAGAAAACAAGAGACAUUAUGGUAGCCACUACUGAGCUCCUGUUCUUUGUGUCACAUAUAUUAUCUUCUUCUGGUCUGCUUUGUUCUGUUUUAUUUUAUCUUUUGUUUCACCCUCUUUAAAAUAAAAAAAAAUAUUAUCUCAA